CGGGAGUGGCACGGGUUGGGGU
rnacentral:miRNA from 1 species